rnacentral:rRNA from 1 species
UUGGAGGGCAAGUCUGGUGCCAGCAGCCGCGGUAAUUCCAGCUCCAAUAGCGUAUAUUAAAGUUGUUGCAGUUAAAAAGCUCGUAGUUGAAUUUCGGGAUUCUACCGUUGGUCGGACUAACAAGUCUGUACUGGUGUGUAGAAUUUCUACCUUCUGGGGAAUUAUCAUGUUAUUAAUUUAGCGUGGUGGGAAACCAGGACCUUUACCUUGAAAAAAUUAGAGUGUUCAAAGCAGGCUUACGUCUGAAUACAUUAGCAUGGAAUAAUAGAAUAGGACGGUGGUCCUGUUUUGUUGGUUUCUGAAUCACCGUAAUGAUUAAUAGGGAUAGUUGGGGGCAUUAGUAUUCAAUUGUCAGAGGUGAAAUUCUUGGAUUUAUUGAAGACUAACUUCUGCGAAAGCAUUUGCCAAGGAUGUUUUCAUUAAUCAAGAACGAAAGUUAGGGGAUCGAAGACGAUCAGAUACCGUCGUAGUCUUAACCAUAGACUAUGCCGACUAGGGAUCGGACGAUGUUAAAUUUUAUUGACUCGUUCGGCGCCUUACGGGAAAC